rnacentral:rRNA from 1 species
AGAGUUUGAUCCUGGCUCAGAUUGAACGCUGGCGGCAUGCCUUACACAUGCAAGUCGAACGGCAGCACGGGGGCAACCCUGGUGGCGAGUGGCGAACGGGUGAGUAAUACAUCGGAACGUGUCCUGGAGUGGGGGAUAGCUCGGCGAAAGCCGGAUUAAUACCGCAUACGCUCUGUGGAGGAAAGCGGGGGAUCUUCGGACCUCCCGCUCCAGGGGCGGCCGAUGGCAGAUUAGCUAGUUGGUGGGGUAAAGGCCUACCAAGGCGACGAUCUGUAGCUGGUCUGAGAGGACGACCAGCCCCACUGGGACUGAGACACGGCCCAGACUCCUACGGGAGGCAGCAGUGGGGAAUUUUGGACAAUGGGGGAAACCCUGAUCCAGCAAUGCCGCGUGUGUGAAGAAGGCCUUCGGGUUGUAAAGCACUUUUGUCCGGAAAGA